rnacentral:rRNA from 1 species
GGGCAGCUACACAGCGAUGUGAUGCUAAUCUCCAAACCAUGUCUCAGUUCGGAUCGGAGUCUGCAACUCGACUCCGUGAAGCUGGAUUCGCUAGUAAUCGCGCAUCAGCCAUGGCGCGGUGAAUACGUUCCCGGGCCUUGUACACACCGCCCGUCAAGCCAUGGGAGCCGGGGGUACCUGAAGUCCGUAACCGCGAGGAUCGGCCUAGGGUAAAACUGGUGACUGGGGCUAAGUCGUAACAAGGUACC